AUCAAUUUCAUCAAUGGAGAGAAAGAAGGAGACGACAGAGAAAUAAAAAAGCAAACUUUGAUUAACAGGUUAACAGACAUCCAAUUAGAAGAUUCAUUUGGGGCUCCGAUUCAUGCUGAGGGAUAAAAAAUGUGAUUCAUGGUUGAACGGCGAUGAACGGAAAAUAGAGAUCUAGCGCAGCGGCGGCGCACCACCAGAAACAGCUCUCGAUAAUCUUCUUGACAUGUCUUCCUCCCAUAGCGGAUGGCUCUCAUCCACUGGUCUCCCAGACUCCCACACUUUCAGCCAUCCCCCAAUGAUUACGGAUACUAUGCCGGUGGUAGUCAACGCGGUGGUCUUGUUCAGAAAAAAAAUCAAUGCGGUGGUCAAAUGACAAGAGGAUAUAAGAAUGCUCACAGAGGGUUUAAUGGAGGAAAUGAGAUAGCUAGAUACGUUUGGUGGGAACAGAGGCAACGAAUGAGACAUCUGUCUCUCCAAUAGCUCCACAGAGUAUUGAGACUCCAUUUUUUACUCCAAUUCAGACGCAGCAGUUACAUGCUCAAAAAAAAUCUUGGACUUUUACAUUAAUUUUUGGAAGCUUUUGUAGUUGUUCAUGUCCCAUUCCUGACUUUUUUUUUUGUUUUGCAGAUGGUAACAGAGGGAUCGUAUGACUCUACAUAGCCUUUGACUGAAAUCAUUUCAGCAACCAAUAAAGAGCCUUUGACUGAAAUAAUUUCAGCAAUCAAUAAACAGGAGGAUACAGAUGCUGUUCAUAACACACCUUCCUCCCUAGUCUCUUCACUAAUUUCACGAGUUAUUGAAGAAACAU